AACGAACGCUGGCGGCAGGCCUAACACAUGCAAGUCGAACGCCCGUAGCAAUACGGGAGUGGCAGACGGGUGAGUAACGCGUGGGAACGUGCCCUUCGGUUUGGAAUAACUCAGGGAACUUGAGCUAAUACCAAAUACGUCCGUAAGGAGAAAGAUUUAUCGCCGAAGGAUCGGCCCGCGUCGGAUUAGCUAGUUGGUGAGGUAACGGCCCACCAAGGCGACGAUCCGUAGCUGGUCUGAGAGGAUGAUCAGCCACACUGGGACUGAGACACGGCCCAGACUCCUACGGGAGGCAGCAGUGGGGAAUAUUGGACAAUGGGCGAAAGCCUGAUCCAGCCAUGCCGCGUGAGUGAAGAAGGCC
rnacentral:rRNA from 1 species